rnacentral:rRNA from 1 species
UACGGAGGGGACUAGCGUUGUUCGGAAUUACUGGGCGUAAAGCGCACGUAGGCGGAUUUGUAAGUCAGGGGUGAAAUCCCGGGGCUCAACCUCGGAACUGCCUUUGAUACUGCAAAUCUCGAGUUCGGGAGAGGUGAGUGGAACUGCGAGUGUAGAGGUGAAAUUCGUAGAUAUUCGCAAGAACACCAGUGGCGAAGGCGGCUCACUGGCCCGAUACUGACGCUGAGGCACGAAAGCGUGGGGAGCAAACAGG